AAUGCUGAUAACAAUAAACUACCCAGGCUACCGCGCCACGUGGACGGGGGUGGUGGAUGGAAAGGGAAACCCUUGGCCACCAGCAGCCUGUGAUAAGGCCAAGGUUCCCUGGCUGGAUUGCUGCCUAGGAUGCCUGUGGUCCCUACCCCCGCCCGGGAGGCAGGAUUGACUAAUCCGACCAAGCAAGGCCUCCAGGCUGGGCCAAGAACCCCUUCCCAGUCCUCUCCCAAAGUCUAUGUCCUUGGGCUCACGCUGUCCUCUCCUGUCCUUGCCUCCUGCAUCUACAGACCCCUGAGGCCCCCUCCUCCUUCAGAGCAUGCACGUCGCAAAUUCUCAAUGACUGUUUGGAGGAAUGAAUAAAUGAAUUGUGAACAAAUGGUCUGAAGAUUCCAGAGGCACACCAGAAGACUACAUUUCCUAGCCCCCCACCCCCUUGCAGUGUCUGGGACCAUGUGACUCCUUAAUUAGGUCACUUCUCUCUCCUGGGAGGCCCUCUCUGCCCUCUCUAAGUCUAACUAGUGGCAAAGGAUCUAAGGGAAGAAACCUGGCAGAGUUACUAGUCCCAAGAAGCCUGGGUCCCUGAAUCACCACAUGGAAGUCUACGCGCCCACCACCUGAAUGGACUAAGGAAGCUGCAGGAUGAAGACAACAGCAUCACAAGGAGGAAGCCAGGAUCCCUGUGUUACCACAAGGAGGAGAGAUGCCUAACCAAGACCGUCUGCAAGGAUUUUGUGUGAGCCAGAAGCAGAGCUGUAUGGUGUUCAGCCACUGAGAUUUGAGGGCUGUUUGUUACAGCAGUUGACCUAUCCUGACUGACACAUCACAUCAUUCCUUUCCCCACCAUGUGUCUAACAUGCUACCAAAUUGAAUUUUAAGUAAAUUAGUACUUAUAAAUUAAGUACAAAUGCUUUUCAAAUUCACAUGAAUCUUUGGUAAAUAAAACUGGUUGUAAAAUUAUUGAUAAAUAUAGA
rnacentral:lncRNA from 10 species